GUUUUGUCAAAUCCUUGAAACUCUGUCUUCAACUUCUCCCAAGCUUCAUGUGCUGUUUCACAUGUUAUGAUCCUGGUGAAGAUAGGAUCUGUAACAGCUGCAUGGAUAUAGGACAGGGCCUUGGAGCUUUAGCAACUUCUUCAUCAUGUUGCCUUAUCUGAUUCACGGUUGGAUCCUGUCGUAAUGGAGGAGGUGCUCUGUUUUCCCCUACAUACUGCUAUAGUCCAAGACCUUUGAGAUAAGCUCUCAUUUUAACAGCCCAAACAUAGUAAUUUUCACCAUUGAAGUGGGGUGGUGACAAAGAGGUACUACUAGAAGCCAUUGAUAGUGAAGAAUACUAACAAAAAACUAAGUGUUUUGGGGUUAGUUUGGUGGUUUUCUCUCAAACACUCACAUAGUCCCUCAAGAUCAAGAACGCUCUGAUACCUUUGAUGGAGAAAAGAGCUUUUUUUUAGAAGAAAACAGAGCAAUAUCUGAAAUUUUUGAAGGGAAGAUCUAAUAUUCAUUACUUACAUUUUAGACUAAAGUUUGUUUACCAAACUCCCAUGAUUUAAGGAAGUUUGCCUUCCAAACUCCAGCUCAAAAUAAGCUCCUCCAUACCUUUAUAACAACUUCAUAACUAAACUAAGAUAUGAAAAAUUACAAGCUUUAAAAUGUAGCAAAAUAUCCUAGCACUUAGUAUCAUCUUCUGAACAAAAUAGCAGCAGUAGCUUUUUCAAUCUUCAACACCAUAUGUGCUUCUCAAAGCCUAUUUUCCUAAGGAAUGUAACAAGGAAACUGUUGAAAAUGAGAGAAGAAUAGAAAGCUUUAAAACUGAAUUUUAACCAUAUAAGCCUAUUCGACAACAGCUUCAAAAGUAGUGUUUAGAGUCUCUUAUUUAUACUAUUCAUUUCAUUAUCACAAGUAUUAUACUUAGAUCAUGAAAUAUUAUUUACUAUUUUUACCCAAUAUUUUUGCUUUAAAAUUUCCAAAUAUUUCUCUGUUUUUAUUUCAUGCUUUAGAAUUUCUCUAAUUUUAAUUCCUAACCUACAAUUGUAUUUUAAAAAAACAAAACUCUUAAAAUUUUAUAUAAGGGAUGGAUUCUAAUUAAUAAAUAAGUUAAAUACAUAUAUAAG
rnacentral:misc_RNA from 1 species